rnacentral:rRNA from 1 species
AGGGUUUGAUCAUGGCUCAGAACGUACGCUGGCGGCACGCCUAAUACAUGCAAGUCGAACGAAGUAGCAAUACUUAGUGGCAGACGGGUGAGUAACAUGUGGGUAUCUUCCCUUUGGUGAGGAAUAACACGAGGAAACUUGUGCUAAUACCUCAUAAGUCUUUACGGAGAAAGCUUUAUGCGCCAAUGGAUGAGCCCGCACUUGAUUAGUUUGUUGGUGAGGUAAUGGCUCACCAAGACUUUGAUCAAUAGCUGAUUUGAGAGGAUGAUCAGCCACAUUGGGACUGAGACACGGCCCAAACUCCUACGGGAGGCAGCAGUAGGGAAUCUUGCACAAUGGGGGAAACCCUGAUGCAGCGAUGCCGCGUGAGUGAAGAAGGCCUUUGGGUUGUAAAGCUCUUUCGUCGGGGAAGAAAAUGACUGUACCCGAAUAAGAAGGUCCGGCUAACUUCGUGCCAGCAGCCGCGGUAAUACGAAGGGACCUAGCGUAGUUCGGAAUUACUGGGCUUAAAGAGUUCGUAGGUUGUUAAAAAAGUUGGUGGUGAAAUCCCAGAGCUUAACUCUGGAACUGCCAUCAAAACUUUUUAGCUAGAGUUUGAUAGAGGAAAGCAGAAUUUCUAGUGUAGAGGUGAAAUUCGUAGAUAUUAGAAAGAAUACCAAUUGCGAAGGCAGCUUUCUGGAUCAUUACUGACACUGAGGAACGAAAGCAUGGGUAGCGAAGAGGAUUAGAUACCCUCGUAGUCCAUGCCGUAAACGAUGUGUGUUAGACGUUGGAAAUUUAUUUUCAGUGUCGCAGCGAAAGCAAUAAACACACCGCCUGGGGAGUACGACCGCAAGGUUAAAACUCAAAUGAAUUGACGGGGACCCGCACAAGUAGUGGAGCAUGUGGUUUAAUUCGAAGAUACGCGCAGAACCUUACCAACACUUGACAUGUUCGUCGCGACUUUAAGAGAUUAAAGUUUUCGGUUCGGCCGGACGAAACACAGGUGCUGCAUGGCUGUCGUCAGCUCGUGUCGUGAGAUGUUGGGUUAAGUCCCGCAACGAGCGCAACCCUCACUUUUAGUUGCCAUCAUUUAGUUGGGCACUCUGAAAGAACUGCCAGUGAUAAGCUGGAGGAAGGUGGGGAUGACGUCAAGUCCUCAUGGCCCUUACGUGUUGGGCUACACACGUGCUACAAUGGCAUUUACAACAGGAAGCAAAACGGCGACGUUAAGCAAAUCCUAAAAAAAUGCCUCAGUUCGGAUUGUACUCUGCAACUCGAGUACAUGAAGCUGGAAUUACUAGUAAUCGCGGAUCAGCGCGCCGCGGUGAAUACGUUCCCGGGUCUUGUACACACCGCCCGUCACACCAUGGGAGUUGGUUCUACCUUAAGGCAAAGGUUAAAAACUUUGACCACGGUAUAGUCAGCGACUGGGGUGAAGUCGUAACAAGGUAGCCGUA